AAAAUAAGAGAAAAUAAGUAGUUCUGUCACAUUCAUAAUGUCACCUCAACAAUAAAUGGUUAAAGCAAAUACAGUUAGUAGGCUAGGUAUAUAUAAGUACUGUAUAUAUAACUGCCCAAUACUACUAGUGCAUAGUGAAGCCUUACCUCGGUUAACACCACAGAUAUAAUCAACCUUCACAUACAGAACAUCAUAUGUAGCAGUGCCGUACCCACCAUUAACUUUCUGGCAAUUUGUUUUAACCAAUCAUCUGUUAAUUGUGUUAAAGCUGUACAUGUUGAGUAACCCACCUUAUAUGCAUGUUGGAAUUCAGAGUUGAUACUGUUUUCUGAGAAAUAAUGCUGAAUCUGUUUAAAUACAAUACCCUCCAUAAGUUUGCUUAAAGCAGGCAAAAUACUAAUAGGCCGACUACUUGGUCCAGUAAAUGACUCCUUGCUAUUUUUUGGUAGAGGAGUAACUUUUGCUAUUUUCCA